AAGCCCCGCAAGGGGUAAGUAGAGUGGCAAACGGGUGAGUAACACGUGGGUGACCUGCCUUCGAGUGGGGGAUAACGUCCCGAAAGGGACGCUAAUACCGCAUGACAUCCUGCCUUUGAAAAGGUGGAGAUCAAAGCUGGGGAUCGCAAGACCUGGCGCUUGAAGAGGGGCCCGCGCCUGAUUAGCUAGUUGGUGAGGUAACGGCUCACCAAGGCGACGAUCAGUAUCCGGCCUGAGAGGGCGGACGGACACACUGGGACUGAGACACGGCCCAGACUCCUACGGGAGGCAGCAGUGGGGAAUUGUUCGCAAUGGGCGCAAGCCUGACGACGCAACGCCGCGUGGAGGACGAAGAUCUUCGGG
rnacentral:rRNA from 1 species